rnacentral:rRNA from 1 species
UUAAUGGAGAGUUUGAUCCUGGCUCAGGACGAACGCUGGCGGCGUGCUUAACACAUGCAAGUCGAACGGAACCUUCGGGUUUAGUGGCGAACGGGUGAGUAAAGCGCAGGUAAUCUGCCGCAAA